UACACACUCUCCCCUCCCUCUCCCUCUCCGUACGUACAGAUCACCGGUCCUCGCGAUAAAGUGUUUCCAUUUCACCAAUGGCCAGAGGCUCGACGACGACGAGACCAAACACGGUGUUGUUUCUCACGCGCCAUCCAAGGUCUCGUGGGCGCGAUCCCUCAGCGUGGCCUCUAGCAGCUCCGACAACACUAACUACAAUCGUCGGUCUGAGUUCAACUUCGACUCCCGCAACAUGUCGAACUCGGCGGCCUUCUACUCCUUGCUGAGUCAGCUUCGGGCCAAUGAUCUGAGGGUGUUCGCCCUCUCUGAGCUCAAAUCAGAGAGCUGCGGGUUCAGUCGGGCCUUGCUGAUCGACGAGGGAGGGUUUAGGGUAUUUGGCCCUCGAAUUCCGGCUGAGACGGAAAUGCACCGCUGUCAUCUUCGUCCUCGGCAAGAGGGGUCUUGAGUUUGGAUCCCUCAGCUGAACCCAAGGUCCGGCCC
rnacentral:lncRNA from 1 species